CCUACGGGAGGCAGCAGUGAGGAAUAUUGGUCAAUGGGCGCGAGCCUGAACCAGCCAAGUAGCGUGAAGGAUGACUGCCCUACGGGUUGUAAACUUCUUUUAUAAAGGAAUAAAGUGAGGCACGUGUGCCUUUUUGUAUGUACUUUAUGAAUAAGGAUCGGCUAACUCCGUGCCAGCAGCCGCGGUAAUACGGAGGAUCCGAGCGUUAUACGGAUUUAUUGGGUUUAAAGGGAGCGUAGGCGGCCUUUUAAGUCAGCGGUGAAAGUCUGUGGCUCAACCAUAGAAUUGCCGUUGAAACUGGGGGGCUUGAGUAUGUUUGAGGCAGGCGGAAUGCGUGGGGUAGCGGUGAAAUGCUUAGAUAUCACGCAGAACCCCGAUUGCGAAGGCAGCCUGCCAAGCCAUGACUGACGCUGAUGCACGAAAGCGUGGGGAUCAAACAGGAUUAGAUACCCCGGUAGUC
rnacentral:rRNA from 1 species